CGUGUUCAAGUAACAAAUCCUUAAGUGUAGUCCCUGGGUUCAGGACACAUGCAGAUGCUGCAUGAAGGAGCAUAUACCCUUAUCCUGCCAGAGAUGGUGUGCCAAGGAUGCCAUGCUGCACGGCUUCAGCCUCAGACAGUCGUUUUGUGCCCUUUCUGCCCACGGGCUAGUGCUGGGGUGCAGGCAGGCAGUGGUUAUCUCACCGGUGUGGCUCACACUUGCCUCACUACUGGGGGAUUUUUUUGGCGCCACAUCCUCUGCAUCUUCUUUCCUACAUCUUGGAGAGUAUUACACCAACAAAUAAUCCCCUGUUACCUGCUAGUUCCUCAGGAGAGAGCAGCAUCACAGAGGAGUUGUGUGCCCAAGGGCAGAGAUCACAUGGCAAGCUAGUGACAGAGGAGGGAUUAAAACCUCUGGCUUGCAGCUCUGUGAUUUCUUUACACUGCCUUCUCUUGUGUAUUUUUUUAAAUGCUUUAGAGAAAGGAAAUACAAUUCAACAGAAUCAACAAGAGUUUGUGUCAUAAAGUUACCUACAUUUCAUAAGCAUGAGACUGGUUGGAAAGGAGUCCAAGGUCACAAGUGAUGUGGAAAACCACCAGGUCAACCCAUUUAUUUGGAUGUAUCACAGACGUACUGAGCCAGAAGCCUGCUGAGAACGAGCGUGUGGGAUGGAGAGGAGAAACAGGAUGACUUGCAGGGACAAGGAAGGACUGGAGCAUUAGAGGGCUGCAAGGGCAUUGUAGAGUAGAAGCAGCAAAUGAUUAAAAUUCAACUCCUAAUGACUCAGGAGCGGGAAGCCUGUCUAUUCAUGCUUUCUUAUGUUAAACCCCACCCUGGACAGUUGUCAGCUGCCAAGAAGGGUCAGGAUAUGUCAGUUUUCUUGUCUAAAAGCUGUUUUGUUUCUUGUCAACUUUGGCACUUCUUUGGCAGUGGAGAAGUGCUCAUGGGAGCCACGAGCUUUCAGGAGCCACACCAAACCCGCAAAGUCUGUACCUCUCCGUGUGCAGAGCAUACCCCCUUCAGAUAACGUCAGGGUUUCCAAAAUGCAGCAAGAUAUUUCUAGAGAAAAGCCUUCUGAAACCUUUGGUUGUACCCCUGCCACACAUGUCCUCAUGGACAGUCUGUGGCCAGAGCUUUGGUGCCAAAAGCUGCUCCCUUGCAGGGAGCAGUUCCUCACUCCAGGCCGAGGGCUGCAGCAGUGUCACAUUGCUCAACAUCAGCUGUCACUGGAGCAGACUGGACAGGUCCACACUCACAGCACUUGGCCCUGCAUCUCCCCUGGCCCCAUGUGGUGGAGCCAUGACCAUAAGACAUUAUUUUCUGUUUUUCUUGGUUGUCAGUUCAAGAGUCUGAAGUAAUCUGAUGUCUGGGGUGUUUUUGCAGUCCACUGGAAUUAAUAGCAUGAAACAAAAGGGGAUGUGACAUUUGAGGGAUCGGAGCCUGCUGGGAGGAAGGAAGCAAAGGAAGCCAAACUGGUUGAGUCUUGUUCAUGCUUCAUUUUGGGAGUGAAUCUUGAGCAAGUUACCGAAACAGCACCUGGGUUUUGUUUCAGAAAGAGUUGCUUCACUCCAGAAGAGAGCCCAGAAACAACCCAACAUUUCUAUACUGUGGGUGAUGACAGAAAAAAAUGCUUGAGGGCAAGGCUGCUCAACAGUGUGGGCAUUGAAUCUUCUGCUAGUAACAUUUAUUACAUGAAUUCAUGGGACCCAAAAAAAUACCUUGUCUGGAAUUGCUAAAAAUCUUCCUUGGCAUCUGAUCAUAUGGUCAUCUGAGCAUACCAUGCUCUUUAUGCCUGCAGUCAGUUCUCUAGCCAAGCCUAUUGUCCAGUAGCCUGCCUUUUUAAUGUCCUGUAAUUUACAGUUCUGGAGGCUUUUUCAUGGGUCAAGAUGAUGUUUAUUGCUGGAGUGGGAGUAUGUGAGAGCAAAAUCAUCUCGGCUGUUGCAUUAAAGCAGUUACUAUUGCUGGUAUGUAAUGUACUGAGCAAAUAGGUACGGAAUAUAUCUGUGAAUGAAUAAAUUAUGGAAAUGUCUUAUAAAUUGUUAUUCUUCUAAUUCUGUAAUUAUAGAAACCAUAGAAAUUGUACAAAAUAAAUGACACGUUUCAUUACAUGAAAAUACCUUCUGCUGUAGCAGGGAAAAAACUCAACACUAGGAAAUGUGAAAGGAAGAUAUCAGUGUGAGCUGCUUAUACAAUGCUGGGUUGCAGUUGCAUUAUUUUCCACCACAGCUUCUUACAAUGUGAGGAAAAGACACUUGGCUUUAUGAUUUAGGAAAAUCACUACAGGAAAGACGCCCUGCUCCUCUCAUCUUCAAAGAGCUGGAUUUGGAUACUACUUUUAAGGAAAACAAAUUCUGGUGAGUGUCCUCCUUAGUCUUAAUUGUCACAAAACAGUCAGGGUGUGGCCUGCAUGGUGGGUGGUUCCUCAGAGGGUCACCAGACCAAAUAGAUGCGGUGGUGACGAGGGUGACCACAGCAGUGUGAGGUUCACCUUGUAGGAACAAGCCCCUAAGGGCUGGUCGUGCAGGUGCAUGUCUUUGCCUGGAGCUGUGUUUGCAUUUGCCAUGACUGCCUCUCUUUUUCAUACAGGGGUAAAAUGGAGGAAGUGCUUUUACUUCCUUAUUUUACGGUUGUAGCCAUCCCACUGAAUGCCAGUGGAGCACAUUCAGAGAUACUAAAGUUGGUAGCUGACAGCACAGCUCGGGACUGCGAGCGAGCAAGUUUUUCACACUUGGAAAGCUGUUAGGGUGGGAUCCAGCUUUCUCUCUGUAGGUGUCAAGUCCCAAAUCAGACACUGCAGAGUACCCACUUGGCUAGAGCUGCUGCUAUGGAGCAACACAGGUCUGUAUGGGUAUGUUAACCCAAGACUGCCAGCCCCAUGCAUGUGUCUCAGAUACUCUACAACACUUUAGAUGGGUUCAGUCAACGAAUCCCACCUGUUUUCACAAAAAACAAUGGUUCUGAUAGAUUUUAAAACACUGUCAUGCACAAGAAAUCAUAGAAUCAUGAGACUGGCUUAGAUGAUCUAGUAGUUAAAAACCCUGCUUUUCUCUGUAGAUAUUUGGAGUACGUUCAGCUUGCAUAUUUAAGCUUUUUCUCUCCUACCAUAUACUCAGAAUUUUUUUUCAUGUCACCUAAUGUGCCCCUGUGCUCAUGGAAGUAAAAUUAAAAGAGUUCAUAGAAUUCUUGAGAAACUUGUGCAAAUUGACAACAGGAAUUCAAACUGUUAUCUGUUACCAUGUUGUAGGGAGAAAUGAAGAAAUAUGGUAACACUUUAGCAUGCAGUAUUUCUUCAGGCUUAACCUUCACAUGGGCUUAAUUCAAUUAUUAUGCCAAUGAAGGUGUGAUGUUGUCAGUAUAACUUAGGUUGAAUGCAGUUGCAAUGGGAUAGACUGUCCCUGUAUGCAAAUAAAUUGUUCUGUUUAACAUGUGAAAUGACUGUACCUUAGUCUAUUCAAUUUAGCUAGGUUGGUUUAAUUUCUCUGAGUCUUGAUAACAAGCUGUCCCUGAACAGGCGUUAGGUAGAGCCUACAUGUUCAUUUCUAGGUUUAAGAUAAAUGAUGAAAGGCAAGAGUCCCAUUUUGUGUCCUUAAGUCAAAUGUGCUCAAAGGACAAGCUACAUAAGCAAGUACAAGUAAAUGAGGAUUCACAUGGAAAAAAAGUGGUCAGCCUUAAGCAGAUCUCAGUAGACUUUCUAACUACAGGAUGGGAUAGAAAGCAUUUUGCCUUUCUAUUGACCUUAAAAGUGAUUACUUUAUACUCGUUCUAGAGGAAAUAAAUGAAGUUGAACUCUUCUCAUAGAAAAUCAGUGCUGUCCUUCAAGGGUCUGAACUUCCUAAGAUCAAUCACUGGAGUAAGUCCCUGGGUUGAUGGUACUGUCUGUUCCUCAUCUGUCAUCUCGGAAUCCAUGAAAUGACAUAGGCUUUUAUACCAUCAUAUGGUUGAGGAGCACGUCGUGGUCCUUGCACCAUUGCAGCGCUUUAACAGGUGCAAUGAAUUGAUUUAUCUUGCCAUCACAGACUGAGCACACUGCCUGAAAGCCAUAAAGCAGAUGAUCUGCUGCCAUACGAGACCAGCCUUCAGGCUUUGGUGAAUGCAGCAGAUAAUUACUCCUGAAGAGGAAUGUAUCAGAGGAACCACUUUCAAAUCCAAGUUUCCUGUGCAAUAUAAUCAUUCCUGUUUAAAUAAAGGACUCCAGCAGUGCUACUCAGCAACAUGUCUCUAUACAAAGUGAGGGUUGUUUCCUCUUGACACAGCUUUUUCUGUUCUUCUCAGAAAAUGACUCCAUUAGAAUCAAACAUUAGUCCAUCAAAGUGCCUAAAAUCAAUUAUCAUUUUAUGUUCAAUGGAAUCCUUACUUUCUAAAAAAUAUCACAAUGAAACUGCUCUAUUGUCCUUCCCCUUAUUGUUACUAUUAUUACCUCAUGAAUACUGCAGAGAGAAACAGC